rnacentral:rRNA from 1 species
UACAGAGGGUGCAAGCGUUAAUCGGAUUUACUGGGCGUAAAGGGCGCGUAGGUGGUUAUUUAAGUGAGAUGUGAAAUCCCCGGGCUUAACCUGGGAACUGCGUCUUAUACUGGAUAACUGGAGUGCAAUAGAGGGUAGUGGAAUUUCCGGUGUAGCGGUGAAAUGCGUAGAUAUCGGAAGGAACACCAGUGGCGAAGGCGGCGACCUGGGCCAAUAUUGACGCUGAGGUGCGAAAGCGUGGGGAGCAAACAGG